GGCAUUACCCAUAAUCCACGGGGGAGGGGGAGCCACCCUCCAUGCCCUCCUUCCUUUCAGGAAUGUCUUGCAGCCAGCCAGCCCAACACCACAGUUCUGGGCAGAAGCAUGCUGAUAUUGGCACUGCCUAAACCAAACAAACAAGAUGUUUAACAGUCAAAUAAAAUGUCCUGCAGUCUCCCUAAUGAAUUUGUCAGGGACCAUCAGAUUUCACUCCCCCUCCUUUGCCUCAUUAACUCAAGUAUGAUGAGACGGAUUAUAACAAGAGAAUACAGAUCAAUCGGUCUGAAGACUUGAAGUGGCUUUUAGCCUCUAGAGUUUCUUUCUCUCUUGGUCUCCUUAAUAGAACACCGCAUCUCCUGCAGAAGGAGCUGCCACUUCGUUUUAAUACACCAUCAAGGAGCUGCUGAUGGACUUCUACACCAACAUACAUAAAAGCAGAGGUGACAGGGGCUCUUCAAUUAUAGCCUCCUCAGAUACCGUUUCCCCCUUCAAUUAUUCAACCAGGGAUAGGAGCCGCAAACAGCAGAAGCUGCCUGCUCUCAGCCAAGGCAGUGGAGAGAGGAAGAGAAGUGGAGAAACGGUGGACAAGGGUGUGAGGAAACUUGCUCAAGCUGGCAGAGGAAUUGAUCCAGCCAUACCCAGAGAAGAAUCCCUUCUAUGAAGACUCUCCUCCUCACUGCAACGCUAUCAGACUUCUACAUAAAUUGAAUCACCAUCGUGUGCAUCAUAACAAAAGGAGGAAAUGUUUUUGUGAAGCUCUGAAAACGAGGUGGUACAGAAUAGGAACAUAUGACAAUGUCUAUUCUCUUGUCCCCGAGUCAUCAAUCCCACCUGUAAAUCAAGGUUCAGCGAGUACCGAGGCUCGUGGACAGUCAUUGUCAACCCACGGCUGGAGGAGAGCUACACGUACCAGAUAGAAGCUGGAAACCAUUUGUGUCGCUUCAGGAUGUGUCGAUCCUAGAGGGUUACGCACAAAUCGUCGCCGGCGCCUCAAGUCAUCUUCCCAGUAGUCAAGGCGCCAGAACUCACGAGGACGACUACAAUGAAACAGAGACGCCACAUAUGUUAGCAAUUAUCAAACAGCGUGGAAGCACUGACUCUCUGCAUAGAGCUCUCCUUGUUUGCUCUGCCUUUCCCCCCUCUCCUUCCUCUUAAUUCUCCCUGCAUCUCACACUCUGCUUCUGCAAUCUUUAACUUAGGUAUGUCCUUGAAAAUAACAACAUCACCUUCCAGUCUAAGGAACUCCUUUCCUUUUCUUGGAAGGUGAAAUGAGCACUAAAUACAUCAUUCUGAAAUGAAUUGCUGACAGUGUGAUCAGUUUCCCCACACUCUCGUGGCAUGUGCUCUGAUCUCAGCCUCAUUUCAGCCUCAGCAGGGCACCUUUCUCUGUGGCUGCAUUUAUAAACCAGAAUAGGGAAAAGGCUAUUAUAAAUAUGGUAUAGCAUUACCUAUAUUAAUCAAAGUCUGUCCCCCUUCAUUUUUCUUCCUAAUUUGUGCCUUUUUGCACAAGGUCAGUAAAUCAUACGAUGAAUUCGUGGUCCAGAAAGUGUUAACUUUAAUGAAUAUCUCAGUUACAUGGUUAUGUAUGUGAUAAUAAAAUAUUACUCUGUUUA